CAAACCAACGUCUACUUCCAAGAAAGAUGAUGGCCUUGCAACCUCUUCUAAGAAAUCAACAUUUUAACUGAUGACUCAGAAACCACAGGUCUGGAAGCUCCAGCAGCUGCAUUCCAGAAGCGUGCUAUUACUUUGAAGCAGAACCAAAUGCAAUUUUGCCUAAUCCCUGAUAUUUCAGUGUGCAUCUAGUAUGGACUGAACUGUGUCCCUCCAAAAUUUUUAUGUUGAAGACCCAGACCCCGAAGUGAUGGUUUUUGGAGAUGGAGCAUUUGGGAGGUAAUUCGGGUCAGAUGAGGUCAUGAGGGUGGGGUCCUCAUGAUGGGAUCAGUGCCCUUGUGGGAAGAGACACCAGAGAGCUUGCUCACUCUCUUCACCCACAUCCACCGAGGAAAGGCCAUGUGAGGACAUCAUGAAGAGGGUGGCCAUCUGUAACCCAAGGAGAGAGCACUCACCAGACGCCGACCUUGCUGGCACCUUGAGCUUCGACUUCCAGUCUCCUGAGCCAUGAGGAAGGAACUCCGUUGUGCAAGCCACCCUGUCCCUGAUAAUUUGUUUUGGCAGCUGAUGCUCAUAGAGCAUCUUUAAAAGACAAAGAUUCUUUAAAACAAGCAACUAGAGCAAUAAUAUUUCUGCACCUACAAACUGGACGAUUGACUCCUUCGUUUCAGCAGGGAUCAGCAGGUGGACUUCUGAUGUAGGGCCAGGGCUCUUGUCUUGCCUGCGCUUCAGGCCCCGGGAGGCCCGUGUUGCCUUUCAGUGAAAACCACAUCCCUAAUGCAUGAUCUACAACUUGCGGUUUCAGGGUUCUUAUUGCAGAAUGAAAACUCAGAGAGAUCUGGGGAGCUAUGGUGGUAGAAUCCUCCCAGGUAAGGUUCUUACUGUCUCCUGCCCUCUUUUAUAGUUGUCUCACUCACACCUAUUCUGCCAUCAUUUUGAGUUUUGUUUUUUUUAGAAAUUCACUUUCACUGAGCAUCUCCAAAGCAUUCACCUUAGUUUUCACGGAAAGGACUCUCAUUUCUGUGUUCAGACUUACUUGGUGUUUUGUAGUAUUUAGUUACGAAUUAACACCAGGCACAGCAGGCAUAAGUAGGUUUGGGAACAAACACAGCCGAUUCCUGCUAAGCAUGCUACUCAGCUUGUGGGAGAAGGGCCUUGGAAUGCUGGAGAGGGCCAUGGUCAUGCCACGGUGGGCUCGCAGAGGGAUGGGGAGCAUCACAUGAUUUGGUAAGUCUGGUAGGUAAAGACUGAUGAAGUGAGCCUCUUCUGGCUUUUUUUAGAAAUCUUUUUAUUUUAGUGCAAAUGGCUCCACAUCAUUCUUUUUAUAUCCUGCAUAGUGACCAUUGCAUAGUUAGUCGUCCCAUAUGCCUUAACUUACAUGUUUCUUGGUGGUAGACAUGGAAGUUGUUUCUAGUUUUUAUCUGCUCAUUUUGCUUCUUUGCUAAUAAGUAAAAUGCUUGAGUAAGUCUC